GAUGAACGCUGGCGGCGUGCCUAAUACAUGCAAGUCGAGCGAACAGACGAGGAGCUUGCUCCUCUGACGUUAGCGGCGGACGGGUGAGUAACACGUGGAUAACCUACCUAUAAGACUGGGAUAACUUCGGGAAACCGGAGCUAAUACCGGAUAAUAUAUUGAACCGCAUGGUUCAAUAGUGAAAGACGGUUUUGCUGUCACUUAUAGAUGGAUCCGCGCCGCAUUAGCUAGUUGGUAAGGUAACGGCUUACCAAGGCGACGAUGCGUAGCCGACCUGAGAGGGUGAUCGGCCACACUGGAACUGAGACACGGUCCAGACGCCUAAGGGAGGCAGCAGAAGGGAAUCUUCCGCAAUGGGCGAAAGCCUGACGGAGCAACGCCGCGUGAGUGAUGAAGGUCUUCGGAUCGUAAAAAUCUGUUAUUAGGGAAGAACAAAUGUGUAAGUAACUAUGCACGUCUUGACGGUACCUAAUCAGAAAGCCACGGCUAACUACGUG
rnacentral:rRNA from 1 species